CAGCCGCCGCGGGAAAACGUAGGGUGCGAGCGUUAAUCGGAAUUACUGGGCGUAAAGCGUGCGCAGGCGGUUUUGUAAGACAGGCGUGAAAUCCCCGGGCUCAACCUGGGAAUGGCGCUUGUGACUGCAAAGCUAGAGUGCGGCAGAGGGGGAUGGAAUUCCGCGUGUAGCAGUGAAAUGCGUAGAUAUGCGGAGGAACACCGAUGGCGAAGGCAACCCCCUGGGCCUGCACUGACGCUCAUGCACGAAAGCGUGGGGAGCAAACAGGAUUAGAGACCCGAGUAGUCCCUGUCUCUUAUAC
rnacentral:rRNA from 1 species